rnacentral:lncRNA from 1 species
CGACACGCACCUAUUAGCCAUCGUAUCUCUGGUGUUUCGUCGAGUCGUACAAAUCCGAGAUCGAUCCAUCGAGUCACCACAUACAUCCUAGCUAGCUAGCUUCUGCGUAUCCAUCUAGCUGCUUGCAUGCUUGCUUAGUACUACUACGUGUGUAUUGGAUCAGCGUGGUAUUGCAUUGUACGUGUUCGGUUGACGGAAAAUAUUCGUCAAGGAGCCGACGUGCAAUUUCUGAUCGGGUAUGUGCCAACAAUUGGUAUCUAGAGCUUGGUUUAUUGGCGUGAUCUUCGGAAAGCAAUCGAAGGAUCAUGUCAAACUUGAACAAAAGGAGAUGGUACGUGGCCUACCGUGCAUUGAUCAUGUUGAGCAAGUGUGCGACGGUUGCCUUGUUCGGAAACAAAGGCGGGCCUCGUUCCCGAGAGAGGGAAACUUUAGAGCAAGUAAAGCUCUUGAGUUGGUCCAUGGAGACUUGUGCGGACCCAUUACACCAGCUAUCCCAGCUGGGAACGAAUACUUCUUACUCAUCGUCGACGACUUCAGCAGAUACAUGUGGAUUGUGUUGUUGAAGACGAAGGAUCAAGCUUUGCAAGCCUUCAGGAAAGUAAAGAUGGCGGCCGAGGUAGAAUCCGAAGCCAAGCUGAAGGCCCUCCGUACCGAUCGCGGGGGGGGGGGCGAGUUCAAGUCUCGUGAAUUCACAGAAUUUUGCGAAGCACAUGGGAUCAAGCGGUAUCUUACGGCGCCAUAUUCACCGCAGCAAAACGGUGUUGUGGAACGGAGGAAUCAAACCAUGGUGGCGAUGGCACGAAGCAUGAUGAAGAGCAAAGGGGUCCCGGGCAAGUUUUGGGGUGAGGCGGUCAAUACGGCCGUUUAUUUGCUGAACCGGGCUCCAACCAAGAGUUUGGUUGGGAUGACGCCAUACGAAGCAUGGUACGGACAUAAGCCUGUGGUUGAUCAUCUUCGUACUUUCGAGUGUGUGGCGUAUGCGAAGACGGUGGCCGGGCAUACAAGUAAGUUGGCGGAUCGGAGUACUCCAAUGAUAUUGGUUGGCUAUGAAGCAGGCUCGAAGGCGUACCGUGCGUGCAACCCCUCUACCAAUAAGGUGGUUGUGACGCGUGAUGUGGUCUUUGAAGAAGCAAGGUCAUGGAAUUGGAACUCUACCGAGCCGGUAUACCCGAUCUUUGAUGAAAUCUUUCACGUUAUUUACAACGAAUACGAGCAUGCCGAUAAUCAACCGGAGACUACAACGACGCCGAGUGAUUCUCUCGACAACGGAGCGCAGACGAACGCGCCAGAUAAAGCAGGGGUAGAGGCGCGCCAAGGCACGCAGCAGAACGCGGCAGACGAGGCAUGCGAUGGCUCGUGCAACACACCAAGCAAUGCUCGAAGCGCUCGAUCAAGUGACUGCGUACCACAGGGGAGCAGCCUGGGAGCUGCGCCUGGAAGUCCACAGCCUGGACGUGGCCACAAUCUGGUUCCUACUCAAGAUAGUUGUGAGACAGGAAGGCAUGCACGUGGACUUGAAGGUUCACAUGUACGUGCAACGAAUUCUAGAGAACCUGGAUCGCCAGAAAACAGGAGUUUGGCAUCUCCACAAGAUGAAAAUUCCUCGUCUUCGACAGAACAGGAGACAAGGGAACGUCCGCCGACACCAGUUCGUCUUCGACCAGUGGUGGAUUUAUAUCCGAAGGAAGCACUUCGUACUAUUAAUCUUGUCAAAGUUAUAAGAAGAGGACGACAAUGUUUGCUUAGCGUCGAGGAACCGACGAAAUUUGAAGAAGCAAAUACUGAGGAGUGUUGGCGUCGUGCUAUGGAUGAAGAGUUGGGAUCAAUACGAGACAACAAAGUAUGAGAGCUCGCUGAUCUUCCCAACGGUCACAAAUCCAUAGGGCUCAAGUGUGUGUACAAAGUCAAGAAGGAUGCUGAAGGAAACUUGGUCAAGCAUAAAGCUCGGCUCGUAGCUAAAGGAUUUGUGCAAGAGCAAGGUGUGGACUUCGAGGAAGUGUUCUCUCCAGUCACAAGGAUGGAGUCAGUGAGGCUAGUUAUAGCUCUCGCGGCUCAAGAAUCUUGGAGGCUACGUCACAUGGAUGUAAAAUCCGCAUUUUUGAACGGGGAGUUGGAAGAAGAAGUAUACGUGAAGCAACCACCGGGGUACAUCAAAGAAGGAGAAGAACACAAGGUGUUGAAGCUACACAAGGCAUUGUACGGGCUACAUCAAGCUCCUCGGGCAUGGAACAUCAAGCUUGACCGUACAUUUAUUUCUCUUGGUUUUGAGAAAAGUCCACUCGAACAUGCUAUGUACAAGCGAGGCAAAGGAAAGGAUCGUCUCUUAGUGGGCAUCUAUGUUGACGAUCUCUUGAUAACUGGAGCAGACGAAGAGGAGAUUGCAAGAUUCAAGCUACAAAUGAAGGAGCUAUUCAAGAUGAGUGAUCUAGGGCUCUUGACAUACUACCUCGGGAUCGAGGUACAACAAAAGCCGAACGGGAUCACAAUAUGUCAAGAGGCAUAUGCAAAGAAGAUACUUGAAAGUUGUAGCAUGGAGGAUUGCAAACCAACUUAUGCUCCAAUGGAGCCUCGGCUUAAACUUAGCAAAAGGAGUGAAGCCCCUGCGGUUGAUGCAACGGAUUAUAGAAGUGUGGUCGGAAGCCUAAGGUAUCUUGUGAAUACACGACCGGACUUGGCCUAUUCCGUUGGCAUAGUGAGUCGCUUCUUGGAAGCACCCACGACUGAACAUUGGGCAGCUGUCAAACAUAUACUCAGGUACAUCAAAGGGACAACAAACUUCGGUUGUGUCUAUUUGAGAGAGAAAAAGAAGGAGAUGGUGGAGCUACUUGGCUACAGUGAUAGCGACCUGGCAGGAGAUGUAGAUGACCGUAAAAGUACCUCGGGUCUGGCAUAUUUCUUGGGCAGGAGCAUAGUAACUUGGCUAUCACAAAAGCAGAAGGUGGUCGCAUUAUCGUCCUGCGAAGCAGAGUAUAUAGCAGCUGCAACCGCAGCGGGUCAAGGUGUGUGGCUAGAAAGGCUACUCGGUGACCUCACGGAUAAAGAACCAGAAAGAGUGGUGCUCAAUGUUGACAACAAGUCUGCGAUUGCCCUGUGUAAGAAUCCAGUGCAUCAUGACAGGACUAAGCACAUAGAUAUAAGGUAUCACUACAUACGGCAGUGCGUGGAAGAAGGCAAGAUUGAAGUCAACUACGUUUGCACCGACGAUCAGCUUGCAGAUAUCCUGACCAAGUCUUUGGGACGACAGAAAUUUACAAAGAUGCGGAGAAGGAUCGGCGUCCAAGCUGUGAAGUGAGGACAUCGUGUUUAGGGGGGUGAUUAUUGGAAAUAACCAAGCUGUCCGUGUCCGGUUCGGAUCGGAACAAUCAACCGACUCGUCUUCGUAUUAGGCUAGCUUUAGUUCUUUAUAUACUCAUGUAAACUACCCCUUGUAAACUCAGAUCAAAGCAAUUGAAUCAUAGGUGUGACACACACCUAUUAGCCAUCGUAUCUCUGGUGUUUCGCCGAGUCGUACAAAUCCGAGAUCGAUCCAUCGAGUCACCACGUACAUCCUAGCUAGCUAGCUUCUGCGUAUCCAUCUAGCUGCUUGCAUGCUUGCUUAGUACUACUACGUGUGUAUUUGAUCAGCGUGGUAUUGCAUUGUACGUGUUCGGUUGACGGAAAAUAUUCGUCAAGGAGCCGACGUGCAACUUCUGAUCGGG